UACGGGGGGAGCAAGCGUUGUUCGGAUUUACUGGGCGUAAAGGGCGCGUAGGCGGCCACUGCAAGUCAGUUGUGAAAUCUCCGGGCUUAACCCGGAAAGGUCAACUGAUACUGCAGGGCUAGAGUGCAGAAGGGGCAACUGGAAUUCUCGGUGUAGCGGUGAAAUGCGUAGAUAUCGAGAGGAACACCUGCGGCGAAGGCGGGUUACUGGGCUGACACUGACGCUGAGGCGCGAAAGCCAGGGGAGCGAACGGG
rnacentral:rRNA from 1 species